AGUAAAAACGCAAAAUAUUAUUUCAUCAGAUUAAAAUAACUCAACUAUAUAUGUGAUAACUAUUAUAAAUUAACUUUACCCUAUAACAGUAAAGUCACAAAUGUUCUCUACUUUAGCACUAUUUUUAGUAAAUAGAUAUAUACUUUUGCCUUUUGUACUGCCCUGAAAUCUAUAUCUCCAAAUAAUUAUAUAUAGAAAAUAUUACAUAAAUAGACAACUUAAGAUAUCAUAAUCUUUAAAAUUUUCUAUUAGUUAAAAAAAUUACAAAAAUUCCCUCACGAUACAUCCCUAUCCUCUUUCGAAUACAUCCUUAGUUAGCCUUUCCCCUUUCGAAUACAUCCUUAGUUAGCCUUUCCCCUUUCGAAUACAUCCUUAGUUAGCCUUUCCCCUUUCGAAUACAUCCUUAGUUAGCCUUUCCCCUUUCGAAUACAUCCUUAGUUAGCCUUUCCCCUUUCGAAUACAUCCUUAGUUAGCCUUUCCCCUUUCGAAUACAUUCCUCCCCUCUCAGAUACAUCCAUGAGCUAUGUAUCCGCAGGUUGCUUAAUUUAUCCGAAAUCCUAUGGUUUUUAAGAAAUUUUUAUAAUUUAAAAAAGAUUAGAGAUAUAAUAUAAUUAGUUCUUUUAAGAGAAUAAGAUUUAUGUAAUAUAGAAGCUCACC
rnacentral:lncRNA from 1 species